CUUCUUUCUGGGCAGGCAAAUUCAUCUAGUGUCUCUUCUACACACUGCAUAAUUAGAACAACUCUGAAGUAUCAUUUCUCAGGUUGUCUGUAAAGAGCAGGAUUUUACAUUAUAAGCCUUACCCAAAUAAUAGGCAUUGUAAAGGAGGAAAGAACACCCUGCGUAGGAAGACCUGCUACAUGGAGGCAGACUGAAUUGCUAUAUACCUCCAGCAGCAGACAAUUAUAGAUGCUCACAGAAGUCAGUAAAUCACAUUCUGCUUAGAAAACCACUCUGGAGAUAUGACAAGAGGAUUGAAGUUGAGCUGGCACAGCUUCACUUCUGCUCAAACCUUCUCUAUGAAAACCUAAUAUACACUAAAACAAAUGAUGGUGGCAAGAAAAGAGAAACACCACACUCCAGAGAAGUGCAGGAUAAUUUGUCUAUGCACAUGGCUUUAGAGAACAUCAGCUUCUACAGUGGAACUAAGUGUGUCCCCAGGAAGCAAAAUUAG
rnacentral:lncRNA from 1 species